AACGAACGCUGGCGGCAUGCCUAACACAUGCAAGUCGAACGAGACCUUCGGGUCUAGUGGCGCACGUGUGCGUAACGCGUGGGAACCUGCCUGUAGGUUCGGAAUAACUCAGAGAAAUUUGAGCUAAUACCGGAUGAUGUCUUCAGACUAAAGAUUUAUCGCCUUUAUAUGGGCCCGCGUUGGAUUAGCUAGUUGGUGGGGUAAAGGCCUAGCCAGGGGAACAUCCAUAGCUGGUCAGAGAGGAUGAUCAGCCACACUGGGACUGAGACACGGCCCAGACUCCUGCGGGAGGCAGCCGUGGGGAAUACUAGACAAUGCGAGACAGCCUGAUCCAGCAAUGCCGAGUGAGUGAUCAAGGCCUUAGGGUUGUAAAGCUCUUUUACACGAGAUGAUAAUGACAGUAUCGGGAGAAUAAGCUCCGGCUAACUCCGUG
rnacentral:rRNA from 1 species